rnacentral:snRNA from 1 species
AUCGCUUAUUGGCCUUUUGGCUAAGAUCAAGCGUAGUAUCUGUUCUUAUCAGUUUAAUAUAAUGACACAUCCUCUAUCUGAGGACAAUAUAUUAAAUAGAUUUUUGGAGCUCAGAGUUGGAAUAGGAGCUUGCUCCAUCCACUCCACACAUUGACCUGGUAUUGCAGUACCUCUAGGAAUGGUGCCCCCCCU